GCGGCUGGAUCCCCGCCGAGGGCAAGCAGAUCUUCUUCUUGAUGGCGAGGUGAGGCCCGAGUUGCCUCCAUUAGCCGUCGUUUGUAUUAUUUUCCCUUUGUAGACUCACGAUUCAUAUAUUAUUUCUUUCUACUGUAGGUCAACAAGUACAGAAAGUAGGCCAUAUAAAUUGCAGGUUGUAGUGUCAGCAAUAAGCAGGGGACGCAUCAAGACAUCGGGUAGUACCAUGAAUGUUUUUAUUAACAAGAGAAUAGUACUCCCUCCAUUCUAAAAUUCUUGUCUUAGGUUUGUCGGAUGUAUCUAAAUACUAAAACAUGAAUACAUUUAUAUCUAGACAAAUUUAAGACAAAAACUUUGAAACGGAGGAAGUACUUUACAGGAGAAUAAUAAAUUUUUAGUUUUUAUAUGCAUAAUAUAAUAAAUAAUGUGCAAUGUCCAUGUACGAAAAUACAGUGGACACCUAUCCUGAAGCUAGAACUGUUGCAUUGUCGCCCUAUAUCUUGCUUGCAUGCUUGUAUGAAUAAAGCACCAUUGCUGAAUGGCUUGAUGAUACUUGUACCAAUAGUUGUUAUCAUAUACUCCCUCCGUUCCUAAAUAUAAGUCUUUUAAGCGAUUUCACUAAAGGACUACGUACAUAGCAAAAUGAAUGAAUCUACACUCUAAAGUAUGUCUAUAUACAUCCGUAUCUAGUCCUCUAGUGAAAUCUCUAAAAAGACUUAUAUUAUGAAACGGAGGGAGCAGUACCUAGCAUCGGUGGAGUCAAUUUCUAUGAGACUCAUUGGAUCUUCAUGCAACCCAUGUCAGCUUAUGUGUGAAAUCGUACAACAUUGUAUCUAGCUUGUGUACUGUCUAGUGUCUACUGCUGUGUGUGAAUAAGCAGUAGUCAUGGCAGUUAAUCUGCUUGUUGCUUUUAAUCUAUUAUCGGUGUUCUCCAUUAUAUAUUGCCUGUCAAUAUAAGCGUUUCAACCCAUUCAUUUUGAAUCUGUUGGCAGCAGUCAACUCACAAGUACAUUCUUUUGCUUCAUCAUUAUAUGUUACCAUGUCAAUUUAAGACCACUAGUUGAUGCUGAACAAGUUAUAUAUAUAAUGCUGUGAAUUUGUUAGUGCUCUUGCACGUAUUUUAGAAGUAGCACCUCCUUGCAUAUAUUUGAUACAGUUUGAUAAUUUUGACAGGUGAGAAUUGGUCUUUGUGGUAAUUGCACCGCCACCCCCUCCCCUCGCAUGGAUCCGUGGAUCUCGGCCGCCUACCAUGGGUUUGCUUGCUCCCCGCCGUUUCUGUACAUGAUUUGAUUUCCGGUCGCCUUUGGUUGCGCUCCGUGCAGGUCCUACUGAUUUUUUGAGGGGAGGGGACUCACAUCGUCAUCUCCUUGUUCGAGAGACUCCAAAAUGUGCAUCCAGCUGCUUCUCUCAACCCCGAGGAACGCCCAGACGGAUGUAAGUGCUCAUGCAUUCAUCUGGACCUCUUAUUGUAGUAGCUCAUAUGCUUGAUGCCUGUAUCUCCGCCUCUUUACUGUUUUGCUAGAACCAUAAAUCCUGAUGCAUGAUGAUCAUGGUCUGGUUUAUUAGAUUUGUUCUGUUGGUGUUUAAAAUUUGACAUGCAUGGAUUCUGAAUGAACUCGUUCUUACAAUUCUUUUCAUUUUUAUGAUCAAUUUAAUUAGAGUUGCACAUGUCAGUAUACUAUACACCACAAAAAAUCCUAGCUAGUGUGAGAACAUUUUAAUCCCUUCAUAAACACAUAGUGAUUAGUGUUAGUCAUACUAUUUAUGUACAUUUCAUUUUCUGUCAAUUCUUGCUUCUAAGUUAUUGGAUCCCUCAUUGACCACUGUUUGAUGUUGUUUACACAUUCUUAUUCUUAUAUGUCCAUUCUUAUUUUUUGCACAGGUGAAGUGUGAAUCCAAGUCCGAAGUUGUGAAGCAUAUUAACAAAGAGUAGCAUAUUAUGUGUCGUAAUUCUAGGCAGUAGUAGGCUUAUGUGUGCUAUAGUAUACUAUAACGAUUGUAAUAGACUAAUGUAGUGUUGUUUUCGAUGAAUUUCAUUUGCUUUCUAGAUUGUUCAAAAUAAUGAUUGUGUAUGUGAUUUGAAUACCCGUGAAAUGGUAACCUGACAAAGGGGUCCAAAGGGUCCAAGUUAUAAUGGUUGUUUGACAUAUUUUGAAAUUUCUGAUGUGUGGGACCAAUUUUGAGAUAAGCAUGACAAGUCGGACUAAUCUAACUGGUGGGACCAGCUGCAAAAUAAAAUGGCUAAAAUAUAAAAUCAGUAGAGAAUAAAAGGCUGCAUCCUAGAAAAUAAAAGGCCGAAUUGCUAGGCUAGGCCCAUGUAGCUAGCGAAAAUUAACAGGA
rnacentral:lncRNA from 1 species